GAUGAACGCUGGCGGCGCGCCUAACACAUGCAAGUCGAACGAUUAAAGCACCUUCGGGUGUGUAUAAAGUGGCGAACGGCUGAGUAACACGUGGGCAACCUGCCCCUUUCAUUGGGAUAGCCACGGGAAACCGUGGAUAAUACCGAAUACUUCGAGACUUCCGCAUGGAAGACUCGAGAAAGCUCCGGCGGAGUGGGAUGGGCCCGCGGCCUGUUAGCUUGUUGGUGGGGUAACGGCCUACCAAGGCAAUGAUGGGUAGCGGGGUUGAGAGACCGACCAGCCAGAUUAGGACUGAGACACGGCCCAGACUCCUACGGGAGGCAGCAGUGGGGAAUCUUGCACAAUGGGCGAAAGCCUGAUGCAGCGACGCCGCGUGCGGGAUGAAGGCCUUCGGGUUGUAAACCGCUUUCAGCAGGGACGAGGCGAAAGUGACGGUACCUGCAGAAGAAGCCCCGGCUAACUACGUG
rnacentral:rRNA from 1 species